rnacentral:rRNA from 1 species
GAUGAACGCUGGCGGCGUGCCUAAUACAUGCAAGUCGAGCGAACAGAUGAGGAGCUUGCUCCUCUGACGUUAGCGGCGGACGGGUGAGUAACACGUGGAUAACCUACCUAUAAGACUGGGAUAACUUCGGGAAACCGGAGCUAAUACCGGAUAAUAUAUUGAACCGCAUGGUUCAAUAGUGAAAGACGGUUUUGCUGUCACUUAUAGAUGGAUCCGCGCCGCAUUGGCUAGUUGGUAAGGUAACGGCUUACCAAGGCAACGAUGCGUAGCCGACCUGAGAGGGUGAUCGGCCACACUGGAACUGAGACACGGUCCAGACUCCUACGGGAGGCAGCAGUAGGGAAUCUUCCGCAAUGGGCGAAAGCCUGACGGAGCAACGCCGCGUGAGUGAUGAAGGUCUUCGGAUCGUAAAACUCUGUUAUUAGGGAAGAACAAAUGUGUAAGUAACUAUGCACGUCUUGACGGUACCUAAUCAGAAAGCCACGGCUAACUACGUG